GGCAACGUGCCAGAGUGGUUAAUGGGUUAGACUCGAAUCGGCAGGAACGUUAAUAGCGGUCUGCCCGUGAUCUAAUAACUUCGGUUGCACAGGUUCGAAUCCUGUCGUUGUCG